rnacentral:lncRNA from 1 species
AUGCUCUAUGGGGUAGAGACGCUAGGCCGGCACUGCCUAGGUGGGCCGGGCGGUGCGAGGGUCGCCUUUCAGCCUUUACCUCUACCCACUGAAAUGGAGUAGGUCGGUGAGCGCCGAUCUGCUGGAGAAUCUCAUUAUCCCAUCGGCGCUCUGCCUGCUCCUGGCCUCCAAGCCUCUGAAGCCCCUCGGGUUUCAGCUGCCGGCUACCCUCGAGCCCGUGGUGCCCACGAGAGAGGCGACUUUACGUCAGCGGCCCUGGGCUGAGAUUUGAGAACGCGACCAAGUGGAGAAUGUUGGAGCCAGAUUUUAAAAUCCUUGUCUUCCUUCUGCGUGCUACUUGAUCUAAAUGAGAUACGGCAAAGUCACAGAACCUGUUUUUAUGUUUUUGCCUGAUUCAUACGGGCUUCUCCGGUGAAGAUGGGCCUGAAGUAACGCUUGGGUUGCUUCUGACGUUAUAACUCAUCCUGUAGCUGCAGCAACCGUGGUCCUUGCAACCUCAUAAAAAUGUUGCCAGCAUUGUUUCGAUAGUGCUGCUUAAUUCUUGGAAGGCCUCUUUGCUUUCUUCCCUGAGGUUCUUCGGACUUCACACAUUCCAGCAGUAGCUCUCUCAGCUCCUGUCCUGCACAGCUUUGAAGUGCUGAAACAGAGAAGAGUAUGAGAAGUGUUACAGAACAUGAAGAUACCCUUGUGGCUCAAACAUACUUAUUUUUAAAAACUCUAAAAGUCUAAAUGUGUCUGUAUCUGGAUAUAUUUUCAGUCAACUUAUGCUGUGUUGGGUAAAGGUGAUGUCAUUGAACUCUUAAGUGCAAGAUGAAACAAGUCUUUCUGGGGUUCUAAGUAGGACACAGCCCUGGUGAUGGCUUUCUGAGGAUGACACGAUGGAGGCUUCUCCAAUAGCUCUAAAACUGCGGUGUGGAAAACAUUCGGCAGCCUCAAAGAGCGGUCUUGUUGACCCCAACUAUAUCAUUUUUCAUCAAAAUCAUUCUUGUAAAGAAUGACCAGGCAACACUCUUUGAAAAUUGGAGGCCAUUUGCAGCUGCUCUCUGUUGAGGAAAGUGAAUAAUAGGGUGCCCUCAAGGAAUUGCAAAGGUAUCACUCAACAGAAACUUUCGUGUCUGAAGAAAACUAGAUCAUUUUAUCAUGGUAGGCAUGCUGAUAUGUUUGCUUUAAUAAAAUGCCAUAUUUCUGCCUUUAAUCUCUUGUCAACCCGCUAUUAAAAAGCCCCAAAGUGCAUGUGUGCAGCGCAUGUAAACACUUGUGGUUUUGAGGUUACCACAGAACAUACUAAUAAAGCAUGUAAUUUGUGUUUUGUGCACA